AACGAACGCUGGCGGCAGGCCUAACACAUGCAAGUCGAGCGCCCCGCAAGGGGAGCGGCAGACGGGUGAGUAACGCGUGGGAAUCUACCCAUCUCUACGGAAUAACGCAUGGAAACGUGUGCUAAUACCGUAUACGUCCUUCGGGAGAAAGAUUUAUCGGAGAUGGAUGAGCCCGCGUUGGAUUAGCUAGUUGGUGGGGUAAAGGCCUUCCAAGGCGACGAACCAUAGCUGGUCUGAGAGGAUGAUCAGCCACACUGGGACUGAGACACGGCCCAGACUCCUACGGGAGGCAGCAGUGGGGAAUAUUGGACAAUGGGCGCAAGCCUGAUCCAGCCAUGCCGCGUGAGUGAUGAAGGCCCUAGGGUUGUAAAGCUCUUUCACCGGUGAAGAUAAUGACGGUAACCGGAGAAGAAGCCCCGGCUAACUUCGUGCCAGCCGCCGCGGUAACAC
rnacentral:rRNA from 1 species